rnacentral:rRNA from 1 species
CGGGUGAGUAGUGCUUGGGAAUCUAGCUUAUGGAGGGGGAUAACUACGGGAAACUGUAGCUAAUACCGCGUAGUAUCGGAAGAUGAAAGUGUGGGACCUUCGGGCCACAUGCCAUAGGAUGAGCCCAAGUGGGAUUAGGUAGUUGGUGAGGUAAAGGCUCACCAAGCCGACGAUCUCUAGCUGGUCUGAGAGGAUGACCAGCCACACUGGGACUGAGACACGGCCCAG